rnacentral:misc_RNA from 1 species
GAAAUGCGAUAAUUAAUGUGAAUUGCAGAAUUCAGUGAAUCAUCGAGUCUUUGAACGCACAUUGCGCCCCCUGGUAUUCCGGGGGGCAUGCCUGUCCGAGCGUCAUUGUUGCCCUCAAGCACGGCUUGUGUGUUGGGCUUCCGUCCCUGGCAACGGGGACGGGCCCAAAAGGCAGUGGCGGCACCAUGUCUGGUCCUCGAGCGUAUGGGGCUUUGUCACCCGCUCCCGUAGGUCCAGCUGGCAGCUAGCCUCGCAACCAAUCUUUUUAACCAGGUUGACCUCGGAUCAGGUAGGGAUACCCGUUGAACUUAAGC